AGUGAACGCUGGCGGCAGGCCUAAUACAUGCAAGUCGAACGGCAGCACAGCAGAGCUUGCUCUGUGGGUGGCGAGUGGCGGACGGGUGAGGAAUACAUGGGAAUCUGCCCAGUCGUGGGGGAUAACGUAGGGAAACUUGCGCUAAUACCGCAUGCGCCCUUCGGGGGAAAGCCGGGACCUUCGGGCCUGGCGCGAUUGGAUGAGCCCAUGUCGGAUUAGCUGGUUGGCGGGGUAAUGGCCCACCAAGGCGACGAUCCGUAGCUGGUCUGAGAGGAUGAUCAGCCACACUGGAACUGAGACACGGUCCAGACUCCUACGGGAGGCAGCAGUAGGGAAUAUUGGACAAUGGGCGCAAGCCUGAUCCAGCCAUGCCGCGUGAGUGAAGAAGGCCCUCGGGUUGUAAAGCUCUUUGUCCGGAAAGAAAAGCGCCGGGUUAAUACCCUGGUGUCCUGACGGUACCGGAAGAAUAAGCACCGGCUAACUUCGUGCCAGCAGCCGCGG
rnacentral:rRNA from 1 species